rnacentral:lncRNA from 1 species
ACUGGAGAUCCUAUCAAACUAGAUGAGAAUGAUGAGGAUCCGAUCACCUAUAUUGAAGUCAUGCAAAGGUCUGACUCCUAGAAGUGAUUUGAAGCCAUAAAAUUUGAGAUGGAGUCCAUGAAGAUUAAUAGUAUAUGGAUACUAGUUGAUCAGUCCAAGGUGAUAAAACUCAUAGGGUGUAAGUGGAUUUUUAAAAAAAAAGAGGAGCAGUCGAAAAGGUGGAGACCUAU